AUUGAACGCUGGCGGCAGGCCUAACACAUGCAAGUCGAAUGGUAACGGGAAACUGUUUCUGUUUUCCCUACCAGUUGCCGACCGGUUGGUAAUUUUUUGGCAAACUCCUUAUUGAGGGGGAUUACCACUUGAAACGGUUACCUAUUACCCCUUACCUCCCCAGGCCCAAGGGGGGGACCCUCGGGCCCCCUGCCCAUCAAUGUUGCCAGAUGGGAUUAGCUAGUAGGUGGGGUAACGGCUCACCCAGGCGACGAUUCCUAGCUGGUCUGAGAGGAUGACCAGCCACACUGGAACUGAGACACGGUCCAGACUCCUACGGGAGGCAGCAGUGGGGAAUAUUGCACAAUGGGCGCAAGCCUGAUGCAGCCAUGCCGCGUGUAUGAAGAAGGCCUUCGGGUUGUAAAGUACUUUCAGCGGGGAGGAAGGGAGUAAAGUUAAUACCUUUGCUCAUUGACGUUACCCGCAGAAGAAGCACCGGCUAACUCCGUG
rnacentral:rRNA from 1 species